CCAAAUAGUAUAGUGGUUAUGACAUUCGAUCUGUAAUCGAAUUGGCUUGGGUUCGAAUCCCGAAUAAGGA